CCCCUCUCGGGAUCGCAUCUGGAGAGUUUCCAGUACUCUACCAGUCUCGACUGUGGGAGGGAGAGUCAAGCAGAGGCCUAGCCAUUCCAUUCCUUGCUUGGGCAGUGGCUAGCGAGUGGAAGGCAAUAUGCUACAAGU
rnacentral:snoRNA from 1 species